GACGAACGCUGGCGGCGUGCUUAACACAUGCAAGUCGAACGGAAAGGCCCUGCUUUUGUGGGGUGCUCGAGUGGCGAACGGGUGAGUAACACGUGAGUAACCUGCCCUUGACUUUGGGAUAACUUCAGGAAACUGGGGCUAAUACCGGAUAGGAGCUCCUGCUGCAUGGUGGGGGUUGGAAAGUUUCGGCGGUUGGGGAUGGACUCGCGGCUUAUCAGCUUGUUGGUGGGGUAGUGGCUUACCAAGGCUUUGACGGGUAGCCAGCCUGAGAGGGUGACCGGCCACAUUGGGACUGAGAUACGACCCAGACUCCUACGGGAGGCAGCAGUGGGAAAUAUUGCACAAUGGGCGGAAGCCUGAUGCAGCAACGCCGCGUGCGGGAUGACGGCCUUCGGGUUGUAAACCGCUUUCGCCUGUGACGAAGCGUGAGUGACGGUAAUGGGUAAAGAAGCACCGGCUAACUACGUG
rnacentral:rRNA from 1 species